CUGUAUUCUUUACUAGCCUUCAGCCACCUUGUGUCGGGUCCUCUGUGUGGCCUGGACGCAGCGACUGUACCGUUAUGCUUUCUGCUGAAGCACAGACACGCUGUACAGAGUUUUUGUGGACACUUUCUGUCGCUUUCUCUGGCCUGUCUCUUCUCUGCGAGCCUCGCUAUUUUCUCUCUUCCUCCUUUUUGUAAUCCGCGCUGUCAAAUAACACCCAAGACGCUCUGAACAUCUCUGAUCACACACAGCGACGGUAAUAAUCAUCCGAGCGAAACGCAGUGCAGCUGUAUGUAGUUUGUGGAUUAAACGAAGCUUCGAUGCAAAUAAUCUGAAUCGAUGAUCUUUAGUAAUCGAGUAUCUCGAGUUUUCAGCCCUAGUUUCAGUUGUCAGUCUCAGUUUUAAUCAACACGUGUGUCUGCACCGGUGGUGUAACGUAACCAUGCCCCGACUACUGUCGGUACUGAGCUCGGUCAGGAUCCAUGAAACAGAGUUGAUUUUGGCCCACAUCCGAGUGAACCUGGCGCUGUCAAGGAGGACAAGACCUGCAUGGACCAACACUUCAGAGGUCAAGAAGUCACCUCCUGUCAAACAUCAAAAGAGAUGCCCAGGUGGAGCAGCACUCCCCAUUUGGACCUGCUUUUCUCAGUGCUGAAACAGAGCCAAACGCACGAACCCCUUUUCUGAACCAGGAAAUAAAGGCAGCUCCACACCACCACCACCAACCUCCUCCUCCUCUCUCAGGCCGUCUCAGACUUUCUUGUGGGCCUUGUGGUGAUGCCGGGUGAAAUCACAUGAUCACCUCAAACAACCAGGCACUGAAGAGGAUUAAGUUUGAGCACUCUCUUAAAUUAACUGAAAGCAAAAACAUACAUCUUGUCUACACCAUAUAAAGUCUAAGCCUUACAGUGUAGACAAGAGACUUCUGUUUUUGUUUUAUCAGUGUAUCUUCAUGAAUUACAUUUCACACCAAUCACUCACUCUGCUUAAUCUAAAUCAUGUAAAUCUAAAAUACAGCUUUUUUAUGGACACACUGCAAUGCAGAUGUUAACAAGACUGAUCCCAUGAUCUUUCUGUAAUGGGAAAGUCUCUAUUUUUAAAUGUAAACACUUUCCUCUGUUUUUUCUCAUAAUUUCUCACUGCAGUGCUUAUGAGUGAGAUCAUACUUUUUGCUAAUAAAGUCUAACUGGUUAGCCCGGAUUGAAUUAUGUCACAAGCUUUCCUCAAAACACCCCUUAUGUGAUUGUUCACAUGGACACUUAGUUCUUAUGAGGUUGGUUUCUAAACAUUUUGAGGAUGAUAUGGGUAAACCCACCCGAACAUCAGUGCCCCUCAAUGUCCAGUUACUUAUUAUUAAUAUACAAGGACAAUACUGUACAGCCUUUAGCAAUAUCUAUUUAACUUGCACUAAUUACAGUAUAUUACUAUCAUUGUACAGUGAAUUAUAUAUUAGAAUUAACUUUGUGGUCUAUGUUUAGACUAUUUUCACAAACACAAUAACAAACAGCUCUAUCUGUGACUUAUUCCUUUUAAUUUGGAUUACAUGUACAGUAAAAUAGUAAAGACUUAUGGUGCUCCUACAGCAUGUUCAGUCUGAUUCCCAUUGGUCCAUCUAUGCUAAAAUAUUCACUUUAAUACUUGUUUGUGAAUAAAAGCAUGAAUCAAAUUCCAAAUGAUACAUUUUAUGAACUCUGGCUAUGCAGUACUCAUUUCUGUCUAUACACUGCUGCCAUCCCCUGGUGGGAAAGAGAUUGUUUGAUGAUCAGCCAGGAGAUUUUGACUUUUGUACUUUCUUGGUCCACUGAUGCUGCAUGCUCAGCGGUGGCACUAUUUCAUCGAGGUCUGUUAGAAUAAUGACAAUAUCAUUUAUCUGUAGAAUGAAAAGUAGCUCAUGAAAGGCUUGCAGUAUGUUGUCUACAUACUGU